rnacentral:rRNA from 1 species
GCAAGUCGAACGAGAACGGGUUAUAGCUUGCUAUAACUGUCAGCUAAGUGGCGCACGGGUGAGUAAUAUAUAGUUAAUCUGCCCUAGAGAAAGGGAUAACGUUUGGAAACGAACGCUAACACCUUAUAUGCCUUUAUCACAUAAGUGAGCAAGGGAAACAUUUAUGGCUCUAGGAUGAGACUGUACGGUAUCAGUUAGUUGGUGAGGUAAUGGCUUACCAAGGCGACGAUCCCUAGCUGGUCUGAGAGGAUGAUC